UACGAAGGUGGCAAGCGUUGUUCGGAUUUACUGGGCGUACAGGGAGCGUAGGCGGUUGGUAAGCCCUUCGUGAAAUCUCCGGGCCUAACCCGGAAAGUGCGGAGGGGACUGCUCGGCUAGAGGAUGGGAGAGGAGCGCGGAAGUCCCGGUGUAGCGGUGAAAUGCGUAGAGAUCGGGAGGAACACCGGUGGCGAAGGCGGCCCCCUGGUUGGAUACUGACGCUGAGACGCGAAAGCGUGGGGAGCGAACAGG
rnacentral:rRNA from 1 species